rnacentral:tRNA from 4 species
GUCACAGUGGCCGAGUGGUUAAGGCGAUGCCCUGCUAUUCGCUAGAAAGCAGUUUAGGCAUUGGGUUCUACCUGCGCAGGUUCGAAUCCUGUCUGUGACG